AACCAGUGAUGAAGAUGAUUCUGCCAUAUGAUCAUGACUGAUUCUAAUCGAAUCUGUUCCCUAAAUCUGAGGUU